rnacentral:tRNA from 1 species
GCCCUGAGGGUCCGGUGGUCCGGACUUGACACUUUAACUGUUGUGGCCCAGGUUCAAUCCCUGGUUGGGGAA